ensembl:lncRNA
AGGAAGAUAAGGAAAUGAGCACCUUGGAGCAGUCUGUGAGGGUGUUUGAAUUUCCUGGGCUUUGGAGACACGGUAUGGGGGUCUAAUGCAGGAAUACAUUCCCUGAAAAGUCACUGCUCAAGAUUUCUGGUACUACCAAACUCCAUAUCCUUCCCAGGGUAAAUCUAGCAAUAGUUACACAAAGACUCUAGGGACUGGCUGUCUAGGAACUACUUAGUCUUUUCUUUUUUUUUAAGCCCGUGUCAGAGAUCAUUUUCAUACGCUCGGGAUGUUGACCACUGCCUGUGUAUGUGCUUUGUUUAAACAUCACCUAUCCAAGAGCUAAAAAGACAAUGCAUAUCAUGGCAGAAUCUCCUGUCUCUCUCCAGACCAUGUCUGCCACUGUCCCUUUCGGGAUUCUACUGCGACCAAAAACUGAGAAUUUGAGGACCAGUGGAAAAAUAUACCAAACACUGGUGAAAGAGGUGGAGGAGAAAGAGAAAUUAAAGAAAAUAAGACAUACAAUGGACCAGCAAACAAUUUGUAAAUGGAAGCAGCAGGCUUUUGCUUUUCCCCACAGACAAGCAGUCCAGAACAGACCCUGAAAGGUAACAGUCUCACAAUAGUAAUGCCUACAAGAGAAACUACCAUAAACAUAGGGUCUAAUUAAAAGCAUUACAAUUUUUAAAUGCAAAUGUAGAAUAGAACUGUCAAAAUGUUUUAUCCCUAAAGUGCGAAUGCUAACCUUCCCAUACUUAUUAUAUAGCACUACAUUUUAAUUUGCCUGGAGCACAGCUGAAUAAAGCAAGCAUCACAAACACAAUCAAAUGGAUAUCUGAAAGUACUGCUCUUCACAAUAGCUGUGUGUCUGAGCCCGGCUUCAAAUGUUGAUCAAUUGAUUACCAAAAUCAAAGAAUACAUUUCCCAAAUGAGCUUCUGCAAAAGCACUCAAUGGCACCAGAAAAAAAAAAAAGAGCAUAAAGCUGCACAGAACAGCAGUGUUCUCUAAAAUAUUUACAAAUGCAACUUUUUACUGCUUUCCUGUUUAUAGCUUAGAUCUGCACAGAUCUAAAGUGAGGAAUAAAGCACUUCUGAUAAAUCAAUGGCUUGAUUCAGUUUAAGUGUGGCAAAUUCAGGUAAACAGAAAAAAGUAAAAUGACCUACAGGUAUACAUUAAGUCUUACGGCAAAUCACAGUCUCUUUCUUCAAAUGACUUUUGAACCUUUAAUAAAACUACAGUAAAAUAUAUAAUACAUUCUCUAAUGGCAAACCACGUGUGAAUACUAUUCCAUAAGAGAUAGUUCCCUAUUUGUUUUCCUUAGAAAUAAGACAGAACUAUUUGUGCUUAUCUGUCCUUUUGGAAUUUUCUCUCCUCCCAGCGUACCAGUAAGAAGGCUUCUAGAUAGUCCUAGUAAGGAUGAAUAAAGGUGAGGCACUUGGCUUGAUUCUGAGCUUGUCUCAGACGGUUACUAUUUGCUCAGCAGAGGCCUCUGUUGAGCUAACUACAGUUCACGAGAGCACUCAUGGGUAUUCUCUAGCUCCUCCCAACACUGGCACAGCAGUCUUCUGGACUGACUGAGCACCAGCUGUAACUAUCAGUGUCCCAUCCGUCUUCCACCUCUAGUGAGCUGGUUCCUGCUGCUGUCCUAUGUAUUUUUACUGCUUUAUUUUUGAUAAACGCCAAUGAACUACUGAGAAUAACUGCCCACCAAAUACGUAUGGUUUUCAUUUAGCAAAUUUAACCCGAAGAAAUAGAAUGAAAAAAAGGAAAACUAAUUUUCAAGCUGAAAUGAACUUGCUAUUUUCAUGAACUUCCAUAUAUUUCAUCCUUCAUUCUGAAUGCAAAUUCCUCUCUUGUACCACUUCCUGCAGUAGCCUAAUCUGCAGUGUGUGCUGUGCCAUUCUCACUGUGAAAAAAGCCGAGCUGGGC